UACGUAGGGUGCAAGCGUUGUCCGGAAUUAUUGGGCGUAGAGAGCUCGUAGGCGGUCUGUCACGUCGGCUGUGAAAUCCCGAGGCUCAACCUCGGGUCUGCAGUCGAUACGGGCAAACUAGAGUAUUGCAGGGGAGACUGGAAUUCCUGGUGUAGCGGUGAAAUGCGCAGAUAUCAGGAGGAACACCGGUGGCGAAGGCGGGUCUCUGGGCAAUAACUGACGCUGAGGAGCGAAAGCGUGGGGAGCGAACAGG
rnacentral:rRNA from 1 species